AUUAAAAAAAAUUAAAGUUUUAAUUAAUAUUAAUUAAACAUAAAUUAAUAAAAAAAAAAACAAAAAAAUAAUAUAAAAAAAACUUUUGAUGGCCGCAACGAAAAUUAUAGACGUCCCUAGUGGGCCUAGAAAUGGCCAUGAAAUGGCACCUCUUAAUACCAGAGCACGAGGUGAUGGUACCCAUGGUGUAACUAUUGUCCUAACUGCUCCCCAAAGAAACUCUGUUAGUUCAGUGGAUAUACCAGGUGAACCAGAGAGGGCGGCAUGGUCUGGAAAAAUGCAAUUCUUUCUCAGCAUUAUUGGAUAUUCGGUAGGAUUGGGAAACAUAUGGAGAUUUCCGUAUUUGUGCCAACAGAAUGGUGGUGGUGCUUUUCUAAUUCCCUUCAUGAUAAUGUUGAUAUUAGAGGGUGUGCCGCUGUUUCUGAUUGAAUUAGGAAUUGGACAGAGAAUGAGACUUGGUGCACUUGGUGUUUGGAAUACUAUCCAUCCGUGGUUGGGUGGAAUUGGAAUAUCUUCCUGUAUUGUAACGUUGUUUGUCGCAUUAUAUUACAAUGUUAUAAUAACAUGGGUUUUCUUUUAUUUAUUUAACAGCUUUCGUUAUCCAUUGCCUUGGGCAUCAUGUCCUGGAAAUGCAACAUACGAAGUAGAAGAAUGUGCUCGUUCAUCCGAAACAGCAUACUUCUGGUAUCGUACAACACUUGAUGCAGCCCCGUCCAUGGAUGAACCCGGAGGUCUUAAAUGGUGGAUUGUCUUAUGCCUGAUGUUGUCAUGGACAAUUGUCUUUUUCAUCGUAAUGAAGGGUAUUCAGAGUUCUGGAAAAGUUGUCUAUUUCACAUCAUUAUUUCCAUAUAUUGUUUUGACAAUUUUCUUCAUUCGUGGAAUAACUCUACGUGGUGCCAGUGCCGGACUGAUGCAUAUGUAUACGCCCAAAGUUGAGAAACUUGCUGAUCCAACUGUUUGGUUAGAUGCUGCCACACAAGUUUUUUAUUCAUUUGGGUUGGCAUUUGGAUCGUUGAUUGCAUUUGGAAGUUAUAAUACUCCCAAGAAUAAUUGUGUUCGAGAUGUGAUAUUGGUGUCGGUUUGCAAUGCUAUAACUGCAAUUUAUGCUAGCGUUGUGAUAUUUGCCAUUCUUGGUUUCAAAGCGACUGUUAAUGUUGAUCGAUGUAUUGAAGUGAACAAAGAAAUUCUCUACAAACAUUCAUACUUGCCAUUUAGAAACGUCUCCAUGGAAGAGUACGAAGCAGCUAUGCAUAAAAUCAAUGGCAGUGAUUCAAAGAUUCUAGAAUUAGAAGAAUGCAGCUUAUCAACUAUGUUGGACAAUGCAGCUGAAGGUACUGGAUUAGCAUUUAUUGUCUUCACACAGGCAAUUGUUGAAUUACCAGGUGCUCCAUUCUGGGCGGUUCUAUUCUUUACGAUGUUACUCUCACUUGGUCUAGGCUCACAAAUUGGUAUUCUCGAAGGAAUGCUUUGUACACUGUUUGAUAUUGAUAUAGUUAAAAGGGUCAAGAAACAGCAUGUUACCGGUGUGGUUUGCCUAUUCUGCUUCUUAGUAGGAUUUGUUUUCUGUACAGGAGCUGGCGAAUACUGGCUGAAAAUGUUUGACUCAUUUGCCGGAACAAUUGGAUUGGUCGUUGUGGCGUUAAUGGAAAUGAUAUCUGUUGUUUAUAUUUAUGGACAUGCAAGGUUCACAGAAGACAUUUAUCAAAUGACUGGAUAUCGACCUGGAUUAUACUGGCAAGUGACGUGGCGAUACAUAGGACCAGCUAUUAUGGGUUGCAUUCUAGUGUCAUCGGUGAUUUUCAUGGUCAUUAAGAAUCCCACAUAUGGAGCGUGGAAUAAAGAAUUGGGAAUGGUUGAACAGACAAGCUAUCCAAAUUGGGUAAUGGGUAUAGCGCUAGCCAUGAUCUUGGCUGGUAUUCUGCCUAUGCCAGUUGUAUUUCUUAUGAGAAGCUUCCAAUGCCUUAAGGUUGACUUCGAUAUUCAUCAAGGCUCAAUUCGACGAAAUGAGACCACAGCAUCAACUAAGGAAAUGAUCGAUGAUGAUGACGCUAUGAGCCCGGAUUUACCACCACAAGAUUCACUAGCAGCAACACGCUUUACAAUUGGAGAUUUCGAUAAUUAAUAUAAACUCAAAAAACCUGGACAAAAUAUUGAACUAAGUAAUCAAAGAAAAUCAACGAAAAACAAAAAAAUUAAUAAAAACUCAAAAUGAGUUUAAACAAAGUCAAUAUAUAAAAAUAACAAUUUAAUUUUGCGUUCUUUUUUUUUAAGUAAGAAAAUUAAAACAAAAACAAAAAUAAACUAAAGUGCAAGUUGAAGAAUAUCAACGAUCAGAUAAUUCACCUAAGCACAAACAUCAUAAAUAUUUAUGAACGAAAAACAAAAAAUUAUCCAAAAAUUAAAAUUGCAAUCAACAUCUUAUUCAUUGUAAUUAGAGAAAGAAAAAAAAAUACAUAUAAAUCAAAAAAAUUAAAAUCAUGAAUGAGAUUGCAAACACCAAAGCGAGCCUUCCUCAAAGAAAAAACAUUAUAAAAAAAUAAAAUUAAAAUAAAAAACAAGAAAAUAGAACUCAUCCAUAUUUUAGAUAAAAUUAAAUCGAAAACAAAAUGCUUCAGUAAAUAUAAGAAAUUAUAUAAAAAAUUAUGUAUAACAAAGGCUCUUCAAUUAAAAAAAAAAAUUAAAAACCAAAAAAGUUACUUAUACAGGUUGACAUAUAAAAGUAAAAACAUAAAAAUAACAACAACAACUUAAACCAAAUAUGUUGAAACUACAUAAUAAUUGCUUAAAAAAGAACGUUUAUGUCAGUGUCUUACGCAUUUAACGAUCAUUAUAUGUAUAUCUAAAUGGAAAAAAUACUCUCCGAUUUUGUAAUGGGAUCUAACUAAUCAUACAACAACAUAAUAUUAACACACAUUUAAUAGACGAUGAAGAUUACAGCGGACCAGCAAUGGGUGGCCGCGUUAGUACCCGCAGUGAUGAUACAGACGAUGACGAAGAUCAGCCAGUUACUAUGCGAAAUAUAUCGUUAUUGAAGUCACCCGCAACAGGGAAUAAUUU